rnacentral:rRNA from 1 species
CCCUUAGAUGUUCUGGGCUGCACGCGCGCUACACUGACGCACACAACGAGUCUCCUAGCUCGAGAGGGCUGGGUAAUCAUUUGAGAGUGCGUCGUGAUGGGGAUAGAAUAUUGUAAUUAUUACUCUUCAACGAGGAAUUCCUAGUAAGCGCGAGUCAGCAGCUCGCGUUGAUUACGUCCCUGCCCUUUGUACACACCGCCCGUCGCACCUACCGAUUGAAUGGUCCGGUGAAGCCUCCGGAUUGGCGCGCACCUCGGUGCCGCCGAGAAGUUGGCUAAACCUUACCAUUUAGAGGAAGGUGAAGUCGUAACA